UCCGAUGAUGUUGCUCUUAACGCCGUGAAGACCAAAUCGAAGAGCGUCGUUUUUGACACCACCGAUCUCAUGAGCUAUCUUUUUCUCAGACUCCAUUGUUUACUUCGUUGUUGUUCUUCUUCUUCUUCUGGGUGUGUUUCGCUUCUUCUUGUAGCUCGCUCUGCGACUUUCGGGACAAGCAA
rnacentral:sRNA from 1 species